rnacentral:rRNA from 1 species
UACGUAGGGGGCAAGCGUUGUCCGGAAUCAUUGGGCGUAAAGAGCGCGUAGGCGGCCCAGUAAGUCCGCUCUGAAAGUCAGGGGCUCAACCCCUGAAUGCGGGUGGAUACUGCUGGGCUAGAGUCCGGAAGAGGCGAGUGGAAUUCCUGGUGUAGCGGUGGAAUGCGCAGAUAUCAGGAGGAACACCAAUAGCGAAGGCAGCUCGCUGGGACGUUACUGACACUGAGGCGCGAAAGCGUGGGGAGCGAACAGG